AUCUAAAGUUAAGUUUUAAAAAAGCAAAAAUACCGUGUCAGGACUGAAAAGGAGCAGCACAAUUUAUGUUGAUUAAGUACUUAAUUUUAGGUACAAAA
rnacentral:SRP_RNA from 1 species